rnacentral:rRNA from 1 species
UAGUCUACGCCGUAAACGAUGGAUACUAGUUGUUUGGCCUUCGGGCUGAGUGACUAAGCGAAAGUGAUAAGUAUCCCACCUGGGGAGUACGUUCGCAAGAAUGAAACUCAAAGGAAUUGACGGGGGCCCGCACAAGCGGUGGAGCAUGUGGUUUAAUUCGAUGAUACGCGAGGAACCUUACCAGGGCUUAAAUGUAGUCUGACAGCUUUAGAGAUAGAGCUUUCUUCGGACAGAUUACAAGGUGCUGCAUGGUUGUCGUCAGCUCGUGCCGUGAGGUGUCAGGUUAAGUCCUAUAACGAGCGCAACCCCUGUGGUUAGUUGCCAGCGAGUAAUGUCGGGAACUCUAGCCAGACUGCCCGUGCAAACGGUGAGGAAGGUGGGGAUGACGUCAAAUCAUCACGGCCCUUACGUCCUGGGCUACACACGUGCUACAAUGGUUGGUACAGAGAGUCGCUAUCUGGAGACAGAACGCUAAUCUCAAAAACCAAUCUCAGUUCGGAUUG